rnacentral:rRNA from 1 species
CCUACGGGAGGCAGCAGUGAGGAAUAUUGGUCAAUGGACGAGAGUCUGAACCAGCCAAGUAGCGUGAAGGAUGACUGCCCUAUGGGUUGUAAACUUCUUUUAUAUGGGAAUAAAACGUUCCACGUGUGGGAUUUUGUAUGUACCAUAUGAAUAAGGAUCGGCUAACUCCGUGCCAGCAGCCGCGGUAAUACGGAGGAUCCGAGUGUUAUCCGGAUUUAUUGGGUUUAAAUGGAGCGUAGGUGGAUUGUUAAGUCAGUUGUGAAAGUUUGCGGCUCAACCGUAAAAUUGCAGUUGAAACUGGCAGUCUUGAGUACAGUAGAGGUGGGCGGAAUUCGUGGUGUAGCGGUGAAAUGCUUAGAUAUCACGAAGAACUCCGAUUGCGAAGGCAGUUCACUGGACUGCAACUGACACUGAGGCUCGAAAGUGUGGGUAUCAAACAGGAUUAGAUACCCGUGUAGUC